GAGUUUGAUCUUGGCUCAGGAUGAACGCUAGCGGCAGGCUUAACACAUGCAAGUCGAGGGGUAUAGGUUUUCGGACCUAGAGACCGGCGCACGGGUGCGUAACGCGUAUGUAAUCUACCUUUUACAGAGGGAUAGCCCAGAGAAAUUUGGAUUAAUACCUCAUAGUAUAAUGACUCGGCAUCGAGAUAUUAUUAAAGUUCCAACGGUAAAGAUGAGCAUGCGUCCCAUUAGCUAGAUGGUAAGGUAACGCUUACCAUGGCGACGAGUGGGUACGGGUCCUGAGGAGGGAGACUCCCCCACACUGGUACUGAGACA
rnacentral:rRNA from 1 species